rnacentral:rRNA from 1 species
GAUUCGUCACACUAUCAUUACGUGAAUACAUAGCGUAAUGAAGCGAACCGGGGGAACUGAAACAUCUAAGUACCCCGAGGAAAAGAAAUCAACCGAGAUUCCCCCAGUAGCGGCGAGCGAACGGGGAGCAGCCCAGAGUCUGAAUCAGCUUGUGUGUUAGUGGAACGGUCUGGAAAGUCCGACGGUACAGGGUGAUAGUCCCGUACACCAAAAUGCACAGGUUGUGAACUCGAAGAGUAGGGCGGGACACGUGGUAUCCUGUCUGAAUAUGGGGGGACCAUCCUCCAAGGCUAAAUACUCCUGACUGACCGAUAGUGAACCAGUACCGUGAGGGAAAGGCGAAAAGAACCCCGGCGAGGGGAGUGAAAAAGAACCUGAAACCGUGUACGUACAAGCAGUGGGAGCCUCUUUAUGGGGUGACUGCGUACCUUUUGUAUAAUGGGUCAGCGACUUAUAUUCUGUAGCAAGGUUAACCGUAUAGGGGAGCCGAAGGGAAACCGAGUCUUAACUGGGCGUUAAGUUGCAGGGUAUAGACCCGAAACCCGGUGAUCUAGCCAUGGGCAGGUUGAAGGUUGGGUAACACUAACUGGAGGACCGAACCGACUAAUGUUGAAAAAUUAGCGGAUGACUUGUGGCUGGGGGUGAAAGGCCAAUCAAACCGGGAGAUAGCUGGUUCUCCCCGAAAGCUAUUUAGGUAGCGCCUCGUGAAUUCAUCUUCGGGGGUAGAGCACUGUUUCGGCUAGGGGGUCAUCCCGACUUACCAACCCGAUGCAAACUGCGAAUACCGAAGAAUGUUAUCACGGGAGACACACGGCGGGUGCUAACGUCCGUCGUGAAGAGGGAAACAACCCAGACCGCCAGCUAAGGUCCCAAAGUCAUGGUUAAGUGGGAAACGAUGUGGGAAGGCACAGACAGCCAGGAUGUUGGCUUAGAAGCAGCCAUCAUUUAAAGAAAGCGUAAUAGCUCACUGGUCGAGUCGGCCUGCGCGGAAGAUGUAACGGGGCUAAACCAUGCACCGAAGCUGCGGCAGCGACACUAU